rnacentral:rRNA from 1 species
GCCCAGACUCCUACGGGAGGCAGCAGUGGGGAAUAUUGGGCAAUGGGCGCAAGCCUGACCCAGCAACGCCGCGUGAAGGAAGAAGGCUUUCGGGUUGUAAACUUCUUUUAAGAGGGAAGAGAAGAAGACGGUACCUCUUGAAUAAGCCACGGCUAACUACGUGCCAGCAGCCGCGGUAAUACGUAGGUGGCAAGCGUUAUCCGGAUUUACUGGGUGUAAAGGGAGCGUAGACGGCCAGACAAGUCUGAAGUGAAAAUCCAGCGCUUAACGUUGGAAGUGCUUUGGAAACUGCCGGGCUAGAGUGCAGGAGGGGCAGGCGGAAUUCCUAGUGUAGCGGUGAAAUGCGUAGAUAUUAGGAGGAACACCGGCGGCGAAGGCGGCCUGCUGGACCGUAACUGACGUUGAGGCUCGAAAGCGUGGGGAGCAAACAGGAUUAGAUACCCGGGUA